rnacentral:rRNA from 1 species
CCUACGGGCGGCAGCAGUGGGGAAUAUUGGACAAUGGGGGGAACCCUGAUCCAGCCAUGCCGCGUGUGUGAAGAAGGCCCUCGGGUUGUAAAGCACUUUCAGUGAGGAAGAACGCCUGGUGGUUAAUACCCAUCAGGAAAGACAUCACUCACAGAAGAAGCACCGGCUAACUCCGUGCCAGCAGCCGCGGUAAUACGGAGGGUGCGAGCGUUAAUCGGAAUUACUGGGCGUAAAGCGCGUGUAGGUGGCUUGAUAAGCCGGUUGUGAAAGCCCCGGGCUCAACCUGGGAACGGCAUCCGGAACUGUCAAGCUAGAGUGCAGGAGAGGAAGGUAGAAUUCCCGGUGUAGCGGUGAAAUGCGUAGAGAUCGGGAGGAAUACCAGUGGCGAAGGCGGCCUUCUGGACUGACACUGACACUGAGGUGCGAAAGCGUGGGUAGCAAACAGGAUUAGAUACCCCGGUAGUC